GGCGUGCCUAACACAUGCAAGUCGAGCGGACCAGAAAUGGAGGUAACUUUAUUUCUGGUUAGCGGCGAACGGGUGAGUAACACGUGGGUAACCUGCCCUCAGGAGGAGGAUAACUCGGGGAAACCUGAGCUAAUACUCCAUAAGACCACGAGCUGAAAUGCUUGUGGUAAAAGAAGCAAUUCACCUGAGGAUGGGCCCGCGGCCUAUCAGGUAGUUGGUAGGGUAAUGGCCUACCAAGCCUAUGACGGGUAGCCGAGCUGAGAGGCUGGCCGGCCACACUGGGACUGAGACACGGCCCAGACUCCUACGGGAGGCAGCAGUGGGGAAUAUUGGGCUAUGGGCGAAAGCCUGACCCAGCGACGCCGCGUGGGGGAAGAAGGCCUUCGGGUUGUAAACCCCUUUUGCAGGGGACGACACAGGACGGUACCCUGCGAAUAAGCCACGGCUAACUCUGUGCCAGCAGCCGCGGUAAGACAGAGGUGGCAAGCGUUGCUCGGAUUCACUGGGCUUAAAGGGCGCGUAGGUGGUUUUGUAAGUCUAAGGUGGAAUUCCACAGCUU
rnacentral:rRNA from 1 species